rnacentral:rRNA from 1 species
GUUCGGGUUAAGUCCGCUAACGAGCGCAACCCUCGUCGUAUGUUACUAUCGUGUCAUACGAGACUGCCGGUAAAAAGCCGGAGGAAGGUGAGGAUGAUGUCAAGUCAGCAUGACCUUUAUAUCCAGGGCUACACACACGCUACAAUGGUCUGUACAAUGGGUAGCCAAGCCGCGAGGCGGAGCCAAUCCUGAAAGCAGGCCUCAGUUCAGAUUGCAGUCUGCAACUCGACUGCAUGAAGCCGGAGUUGCUAGUAACCGCAGGUCAGCAAUACUGCGGUGAAUACGUUCCCGGGUCCUU